GGGGCUGUAGGGUAGCCUGGUUAUCCUUCGAGCUUUGGGAGUUCGCGACCCCAGUUCAAAUCUGGGCAGCCCCA
rnacentral:tRNA from 1 species